GACGAACGCUGGCGGCGUGCCUAAUACAUGCAAGUCGAGCGGACCGAACAGGAGCUUGCUCUUGUUCGGUUAGCGGCGGACGGGUGAGUAACACGUGGGUAACCUGCCCGUAAGACCGGGAUAACUCCGGGAAACCGGAGCUAAUACCGGAUAACACCGAAGACCGCAUGGUCUUUGGUUGAAAGGCGGCUUCGGCUGCCACUUACGGAUGGGCCCGCGGCGCAUUAGCUAGUUGGUGAGGUAACGGCUCACCAAGGCGACGAUGCGUAGCCGGCCUGAGAGGGUGACCGGCCACACUGGGACUGAGACACGGCCCAGACUCCUACGGGAGGCAGCAGUAGGGAAUCUUCCGCAAUGGACGAAAGUCUGACGGAGCGACGCCGCGUGAGCGAAGAAGGUCUUCGGAUCGUAAAGCUCUGUUGUUAGGGAAGAAGAAGCGUCGUUCGAACAGGGCGGCGCGGUGAAGGUACCUAACGAGAAAGCCCCGGCUAACUACGUG
rnacentral:rRNA from 1 species